rnacentral:rRNA from 1 species
GGAAGGGUUGUAUUUAUUAGAUAAAGAACCAAUAUAAUUGGUGACUCAUAAUAACUUUACGGAUCACUUUAAAUGUGACAUAUCAUUCAAGUUUCUGACCUAUCAGCUUUAGACGGUAGGGUAUUGGCCUACCGUGGCAAUGACGGGUAACGGGGAAUUUGGGUUCGAUUCCGGAGAGGGAGCCUGAGAAACGGCUACCACAUCUAAGGAAGGCAGCAGGCGCGCAAAUUACCCAAGCCUAAUACAGGGAGGUAGUGACAAGAAAUAACAAUACAGGACUUUUUGGUUUUGUAAUUGGAAUGAGUUAAGUAUAAACCCCUUUACAAGUAUCAAUUGGAGGGCAAGUCUGGUGCCAGCAGCCGCGGUAAUUCCAGCUCCAAUAGCGUAUAUUAAAGUUGUUGCAAUUAAAAAGCUCGUAGUUGGAUUUCUGUUAAUAAUUUAUAUAAAAUAUUUUGUUGAAUAUUUAUAUAAUAUUAACAUAAUUCAUAUUACUAUAUAUUUUAGUAUAUGAAAUUUUACUUUGAGAAAAUUAGAGUGCUUAAAGCAGGCAUAUGCCUUGAAUACUCCAGCAUGGAAUAAUAUUAAAGAUUUUUAUCUUUCUUAUUGGUUCUAAGAUAAGAAUAAUGAUUAAUAGGGACAGUUGGGGGCAUUUGUAUUUAACAGUCAGAGGUGAAAUUCUUAGAUUUGUUAAAGACAAACUAAUGCGAAAGCAUUUGCCAAGGAU